rnacentral:piRNA from 1 species
UAGCAAGAUUUUAUCGAAAGGACCCAGGUA